rnacentral:misc_RNA from 1 species
GUUACUUUUUACCAUAAAGAAAGAGAGAACGAUACUUGGCACUGGAUAACGUUACAACUGAGCAUACUUUAAAUUCUAUGAAUGAUCACUGAAACUAUAAAAGAGUGAAACGCAAGAUUUACUGUUGCAAAUAUCAACUUCCAGCCAAACAUGAAUUGCUGGAAGGUUGAAAUAUCAUUUGUAGAGCUCUUCCAUGGUUUCUUUCAAGAGUUGGACAUCAGCACCGAUAACUUCAGAUGUUUUUUUCCCAUUUUGAAAGAAGUGCAAUGUAGGCACUGAGGUAAUGUUCAACUUGCUCAAUGCAUUUCCAAGCCCUUCCUUGUCAAUGUCAACUUUAUAUGUUGUCACAUGAGGAUAUUUCUCACUUAAUUGGCCAAUCACAGGAGAUAACAACCUACAGGGCCCACACCAGACAGCAGUGAAGUAGAAUAUUGCAGGCAAGGAUUCAUCUUGUACUUUGCGAAGUGAAGUAUUGAAUUGUUCUUCAGACUCAAUUGAUACAAUAUUUGAUGGACCUGAGGAAGAUGGACUGGAGAAGUUUCGAUAUUGAUUGAGAACGUGAAGAGACUGGAAAUCGGAGAGGAGGUUUGCGGCAAUUGGGAAUCCAUAAAGUAGAUUAGGUUUCUCCAUGAAAGUUACAGUGGAGUAAGAGACUGUAGCUGCUGAUGACACCAUUAAUGUUUGACCUAAUUCAGAAGAACGCCGUGAUGAUGUGAAUGGCUGUCUGCCGCCGAUCAACCGCCGGAGAAUCCCUCUCAUCUUU